AGUAUGGGUCACGUGGUUGUUUAGCGCCAACUUCUGACCAGUGUCUUUGUCUCGUAAAGGGUCGUUAAUCCUUUAGUUCCAGUCGACAGAGUAACUACAAUGUCUGACGGUAAACCCCACGACUGAAAGGUGUUAUAAUUAUGGGGACGCGUAGUGGUGUCACGCUGUCCUUAAGGUAAUCACAUCAAAUAGUGCUGGUUGACUGAUUUAACAUAGUACUCUUUAGAAAUGCCCGCGACAGUCCGAGCAAUCGUUUUUAUAAAACUUUUUAAAAUAGCGGAGACACACCACCAAUUUUUUUUUAAAACUCACUUUACAGCGUUUGUUCAGUUUUAAUGUAUUUCAUUUUUAAAAAGAAAAUUUUAAAAACAGUUCUCGAACCCUCAAUUUGCAGUUGGUCAUAAAAUUAUGCUAUACCCUUUAAAAACAGCCGUACUUAUGAAAAUUGUCACUUCGACUUGUGGCUGAAAAGAAUACAACACCAAAACAGAAAGACUUGACGAAAAAAAACUAUACAAGAAAAGACAAAUAAUUUAAAAUGUAUGCAAUUGCUGAUGUAAGAAAUUUUAUAUUAUCAACCAUUAGCCUGAUUACGGCGACAUUGGCACCAUAUGCACCGUCCUUAGGCACGCCUGAUGUUGUUAUACAAUUACGGGGUAUUUUGGCAGACGCAGACGCUUUGUUGUCGACCCACAACCCGUUCAUCCCAACUAGACCAGCCACGCCUAGCCAGGAAAAAGAAACAUUGUUAGCAUACACUGACUACAUAUUGGCACGUUUGAGGUUGGUGGCCGACACAAAUCCGGGGUUCAAGAAGCCAAUGGAUAUUUUAGAGACUUACAGGGAAUUGGCCGACUGGAACUCACCGGCACUUUAAAAUGUAAAUCAAAAAUAAAAAAAAAAUAUU